GAUCAUGGCUCAGAUUGAACGCUGGCGGCAGGCUUAACACAUGCAAGUCGAGCGGGGAAGGGUAGCUUGCUACCUGACCUAGCGGCGGACGGGUGAGUAAUGCUUAGGAAUCUGCCUAUUAGUGGGGGACAACAUUCCGAAAGGAAUGCUAAUACCGCAUACGCCCUACGGGGGAAAGCAGGGGAUCUUCGGACCUUGCGCUAAUAGAUGAGCCUAAGUCAGAUUAGCUAGUUGGUGGGGUAAAGG
rnacentral:rRNA from 1 species